GACGAACGCUGGCUGCGUGCUUAACACAUGCAAGUCGAACGCUGAAGCCUGGUGCUUGCACCGGGUGGAUGAGUGGCGAACGGGUGAGUAACACGUGAGUAACCUGCCCCUGACUUCGGGAUAAGCCCGGGAAACUGGGUCUAAUACCGGAUACGACCACUGGACGCAUGUCUGGUGGUGGAAAGUUUUUUCGGUUGGGGAUGGGCUCGCGGCCUAUCAGUUUGUUGGUGAGGUAAUGGCUCACCAAGACGACGACGGGUAGCCGGCCUGAGAGGGCGACCGGCCACACUGGGACUGAGACACGGCCCAGACUCCUACGGGAGGCAGCAGUGGGGAAUAUUGCACAAUGGGGGAAACCCUGAUGCAGCGACGCAGCGUGCGGGAUGACGGCCUUCGGGUUGUAAACCGCUUUCAGCAGGGAAGAAGCGAGAGUGACGGUACCUGCAGAAGAAGUACCGGCUAACUACGUGCCAGCAGCCGCAGUAACAC
rnacentral:rRNA from 1 species